rnacentral:tRNA from 1 species
UCCGGUAUGGUCUAGUGGCUGGUAUACUUGGCUUUAACCCACGAGGCUCGACUUCGAUUCCCGGUACCGGAA